GACGAACGCUGGCGGCGUGCUUAACACAUGCAAGUCGAGCGGUAAGGCCCUUUCGGGGGUACGACGAGCGGCGAACGGGUGAGUAACACGUGGGUGACCUGCCCUCCAGCUCUGGGAGUAAGCCUGGGAAACCGGGUCUAAUACCGGAUAUGACUCCAUGACGCAUGCUGUGGGGUGGAAAGCCUUGUGCGGCUGAGGAUGGGCCCGCGGCCUAUCAGCUUGUU
rnacentral:rRNA from 1 species